rnacentral:rRNA from 1 species
AGUGAACGCUGGCGGUAGGCCUAACACAUGCAAGUCGAACGGCAGCACAGUAAGAGCUUGCUCUUACGGGUGGCGAGUGGCGGACGGGUGAGGAAUACAUCGGAAUCUACUUUUUCGUGGGGGAUAACGUAGGGAAACUUACGCUAAUACCGCAUACGACCUACGGUUGAAGGCAGGGGAUCUUCGGACCUUGCGCGAUUGAAUGAGCCGAUGUCGGAUUAGCUAGUUGGCGGGGUAAAGGCCCACCAAGGCGACGAUCCGUAGCUGGUCUGAGAGGAUGAUCAGCCACACUGGAACUGAGACACGGUCCAGACUCCUAAGGGAGGCAGCAGUGGGGAAUAUUGGACAAAGGGCGCAAGCCUGAUCCAGCCAUACCGCGUGGGUGAAGAAGGCCUUCGGGUUGUAAAGCCCUUUUGUUGGGAAAGAAAAGCAGCAGGUUAAUACCCCGCUGUUCUGACGGUACCCAAAGAAUAAGCACCGGCUAACUUCGUG